rnacentral:lncRNA from 10 species
UACACCAUUACUCCGUCUCCCCCAACCUCAGAUAUCUAAAAACGUUGGGUGGGAGGAAAGGGGCGCUUCUUGCUGUUGGGACAAUCAGGUUGGAACGCACCGGUAAACCGAAGUUGACUCCGCGGACUGACUUUUUGUCUUUCAGACCCGCGAGGUCUGCUUCUCAGUUUAACUCUAGAAUUGAAGCUCACUAACCCGAAGCCAAAGAGCGAAAUGAUCUUUCAGUAGUCUAAAGUUUGUAAGAUUUUUAUAUACUGUUCAAUUCUUCUCACUGCUGGUCUCCUGCCCUUUGUUUUUAAGCAAACUUGUGCAACUAGCUGUGGUAUUUUGGUAAUUAUAAGGACAAGUCUCCAUGACUUUGUGGAGAUUUUUUAAAAAUGCAUUAGUCUAAGGGCGCGAGUAGGGAGGGAUUUAUUACAGAACAGUGAAAGACCUAUUUCACGUCCCCAGGCGUUAAUAUAUAAUUUUCUCUCGAGAAACUACUUGGAGAGAGAAGACUGUUAGGUGCAACUCGCCGGUAACCUUCUUCAAUCAUUCUUACAUGUUCCCAUCAUCUGUUACGGUCUCCCAAAGACAGUCACAGGAAGGCCACGAAGAACCCCCGCGCUUCCCCCAAAGCUUCUAAAAAGCCAUUUCUUAUCUAAUGGGGCUGCCAGUUUUAUCUAAAAAGUCCUACAGACACAAACCAUAGAAGGCUUAAUUUCGGUGUCUUGUUGCUGUGAGAAGACCCGGUGUGUUAGGAAACUCCUUUCUUUAUAUCUUUCGCAAAAUCUAACCCUUGAUAAGAGCUGUAAAUCCUGGCCGGCCGCAUUGGCUGGGCUUGAACGGGUAAUGCCUCUCCAAAGCGGAAAGGGAAUCAAAGAUGCGUAAGUUUCCUCCUGACCUAGCUGAGGCUUUCUUCCCCAGGAACUAGUUUUGAUUUGUUUUUUCUCAAGGAGGAUUUCAAAUUGGAUCUGUCUUCCCUUCCAUUUUUAUUAUAAGUUGUUUUAGAGCGCGUGUAUGAAAGCGAAAGUUGGAUAGACCUAGGUUGAUAAGUUUACCAGUUGUGUGGUGUGUGUUUUUUUUUUUUUUUUUUUUUG